rnacentral:rRNA from 1 species
AGGUCAAGUGAAGAAGGGCGCACGGUGAAUGCCUUGGCACUGGAAGCCGAUGAAGGACGCGACUAACCGCGAAAGUCUUCGGGGAGCCGUAAGUAGGCUUUGAUCCGGAGGUCUCCGAAUGGGGGAACCCAGCAUGUGCAGACAUGCUAUCCUUAAGUGAAUACAUAGCUUAAGGAAGGAA